rnacentral:misc_RNA from 1 species
GAUGAAGAACGCAGCGAAAUGCGAUAAGUAAUGUGAAUUGCAGAAUUCAGUGAAGCAUCGAAUCUUUGAACGCACAUUGCGCCCCUUGGUAUUCCGAGGGGCAUGCCUGUUCGAGCGUCAUUAUAACCCUCAAGCUCAGCUUGGUGUUGGGGCCUGCUGCACUGGCAGCCCUUAAAAUCAGUGGCGGCGCCAUCUGGCUCUAAGCGUAGUAAUUCUUCUCGCUAUGGAGUCCUGGUGGAUGCUUGCCAUCAACCCCCAUUUUUUCUAUGGUUGACCUCGGAUCAGGUAGGGAUACCCGCUGAACUUAAGCAUAUCAAUAAGCGGAGGA